CCAACAACGGACACCACUUCACUCUCCGCAACAAGCUCCACGUGGCCCUGAACGACCUCUGACGCCACUACUCUCCGUAACAAACUCCAUGCGGCUUUGAGCGGUCCACUACCAGAUGGUUACAGACGUCACUGUCGGUCAGUUACACCCUCCGUCUAUAAAUAAAGACCUCCAGAUAUGUUCUUCUCUAAGCUGGUAACUCUAUCUCGAAAUUCUGCCAAAAUUUUUGCUCGAGCACUCUAUUUCUGUUGAAGCAGAGUAUUGACUUGAGCGUCGGA
rnacentral:lncRNA from 1 species